GACGAACGCUGGCGGCGUGCCUAAUACAUGCAAGUCGAACGCACGAAGUUGAAGAGCUUGCUCUUUAACCAGGUGAGUGGCGGACGGGUGAGUAACACGUGGGUAACCUGCCCAUUAGAGGGGGAUAACAUUCGGAAACGGAUGCUAAUACCGCAUAGUUUCAGGAAUCGCAUGAUUCUUGAAGGAAAGGUGGCUUCGGCUACCACUAAUGGAUGGACCCGCGGCGUAUUAGCUAGUUGGUGAGGUAAUGGCUCACCAAGGCAAUGAUACGUAGCCGACCUGAGAGGGUGAUCGGCCACACUGGGACUGAGACACGGCCCAGACUCCUACGGGAGGCAGCAGUAGGGAAUCUUCCGCAAUGGACGAAAGUCUGACGGAGCAACGCCGCGUGAGUGAAGAAGGUUUUCGGAUCGUAAAACUCUGUUGUUAAAGAAGAACAAGGAUGAGAGUAACUGCUCAUCCCCUGACGGUAUUUAACCAGAAAGCCACGGCUAACUACGUGCCAGCAGCCGCGGUAAUACGUAGGUGGCAAGCGUUGUCCGGAUUUAUUGGGCGUAAAGCGAGCGCAGGCGGUUCUUUAAGUCUGAUGUGAAAGCCCCCGGCUCAACCGGGGAGGGUCAUUGGAAACUGGAGAACUUGAGUGCAGAAGAGGAGAGUGGAUUCCACGUGUAGCGGUGAAAUGCGUAGAUAUGUGGAGGAACACCAGUGGCGAAGGCAACUCUCUGGUCUGUACUGACGCUGAGGCUCGAAAGCGUGGGGAGCAACAUG
rnacentral:rRNA from 1 species